GGUGCUUUGGUGUAGUGGUUAGACUACCAGCCGUUUGUUGGUCACAUGAUGCCUGUUUUUGGAAGUCCUGAGUUCGAAUCUCAGCACUGCCA